ensembl:snRNA
GUGUUGUACGAAAGGAGACAAAGUUAGCACCCCUCUCAACAAGGAUGGAAGAGGCCCUUGGGCCCGACAACACACGUACGGUUAAGGCACUGCCACCUACUUUGUGGUAUCUAAACACGGUAAAAA